UCCAAGUUUAAUAGAAAGAAGAGCCUCGCUACUGGGAAUAUAUACACAAUUCCUUCGCUCAGACGCAUUAUUUAUCAAGCUAAAAUGACAACAUGUCCCAUGCAAAUAUUUAAAAAAGGUAAACUUGCUAUAGUAAAACACAAGUCAUAAUGAUGAUCGCAACAAUACAGCAAUAAUAUGCCGUUUCUUUUCACAAAGUAUCGCAGCCUGACACUCUUGUCGUUCGAAAGCUUCCAUAUUGGUUUAGUCAGAAAGAUGUUCACUCCUCGACAGUCAACAGUCAAUGAAGUCACGCGCGGAAUUAGGCGCUCAAUACCCAUGAUGCUUUGCGGCCUGCUGUUCA